GGGUAGGACAGAGAAAAAUCUUGAUUCGGCUGACCUGACUGGCUAGGUGGGUUUCCCCUUCCUCCCUCACUGCUCGUGAAGCUGCGUGCUCGGUGGAAGAGGACGGCCUUCCCCCAAUAGAGACAGACUGGUCUUCCAUUGAGUGUAUAUGAGUAGCUGCGCUCCCCUGCUAGACCCUCCAAACAAGCUCUCAAGGACAGAGAGAAAUCGAGAGAGGAGGGGAGACUUACAAGGGGAGAGAAAGACAGACACCUGUAGACCUGCUUCACCACUUGU
rfam:Erinaceus europaeus unplaced genomic scaffold scaffold00072, whole genome shotgun sequence